GUCACGUGUGCAAUUUUUGACUUUAUUGUUUUUGAUUGAUUUAAAUGAAUCAAAAAGAUCAGUAAGGAUUAGGUUAUAAAGUUAAUUAUAAUAUGAAUCGCACAGAUUAUUUAUUGCAUAAAUAUAUGUGAUUAUAAAGUUUAAUUGCAAAUACAUGUUAUUUAUCUCACAGUCUUAUCUCUGUAUAACCUAUACAAUUAUUAAUUUUCUAAAUAACAUUCAAUUAUCAAGAAGAAAAUUUUCUUAGUAAAUGUUAAUAAAGUAUUUAAACUUGCUUAUGUAUUGUUACGAUAUAACUUUACAAUGCAUUUAGAUUCUGAUUUUAAUUCAGACAUGGAAUGUAACGAAGGAUCUUCCAAUGCAAAUAUAAAUCAUAAUUCUUCUGCUGCAGGUAGUAGUAAAGAAUUUUUAACUUUAAAUGAAAAUGAAGAAGAAGAUGAAACAGUAAAAGCUAUAAUCAGAUCUAAAGAAUUACACAGAACUCAUCCUCCGACGAUUACAUUAGAUGAUUUUAUAGUAGACAUAUGUUUUCAUCCUCAAAAUGAUAUGAUUGCUGUGGCUAAUAUCCUAGGAGAUGUUUUAUUAUUCAACUAUACUAACGAAAAGACGAAACUUGUAUCAUCCAUGGAAUUACAUCUCAAAGCUUGCAGAGAUAUUGAAUUCAAUCAUGAUGGUAAAAAACUUUUUUCUACAGCAAAAGACUUAUGUAUAAUGAUUACAGAUGUGGAAACUGAAAAAUUAAUAAGAUUAUAUGAAAAUGCUCAUGAACAACCUGUAUAUACCAUGAAUAUUCUUGGAGAAAACACAUUUGGAACGGGUGAUGAUAAUGGUGUUGUUAAAUUAUGGGAUCUUAGACAGAGAGGUAAUACUCCUAUAUUUUCAAUAAAACAAAUGGAAGACUAUGUUAGUGCUAUGAUUACGAAUAGCGAUAAUAAAUAUCUAGUAUGUGCUAGUGGAGAUGGAUCGCUUACAACAUUUAAUAUGACUGCAAAAAAACUGCAUAUUCAGUCCGAAGAAUAUGAAGAAGAAUUAUUAUGCCUUGGUCUAUUUAAAUCAGAGGCAAAGAUCUUAGCUGCUAGUAGCAAAGGAAAACUGUAUGUAUUUAAUUGGGGAGAAUUUGGUCUUCAUUCAGAUGAAUUUCCAAGCUUAACAAAAAAAGCUCUAAAUUGUAUGAUACCUAUUACGGAGAAUAUUGUAAUAACUGGUGGUGAAGAUGGAAUACUUAGAGCAACAAAUUUAUUUCCGCAUCAUCAUCUUGGUAUAGUAGGUCAGCAUAAUUUUUCUAUUGAAGCACUUGAUGUUAAUAGUGAUGGUACCUUAAUAGCAUCCUCUUCUCAUAACGACGAUAUCAAAUUUUGGAACGUAGAGUAUUUGGAAACAUUAAAUACUUCUGAGCGUAGGAAGGGUGGUAAACAAAAACAAAUGAUACAUAAUCUACCAAGUAGUAAAGUUAAUAAUGCGUCAGAUUUUUUUGCAGAUCUUUGAUCUUUUAUAUUAUUGGUAAAUAUUCUUUUUAUUAUCAUUAUUUUCUUUCAUACAUAAGCGUACAUUUUUAUAUAUAUUUAAAAUAAAUGUAUAUCAAAUAUCUGAAUAUCUGUUGAAUAUCAUGGAGAAUUUGAAUAUAUUAUAUAUAAACUUGCAUUAUAAAUUAAAGAAAGUUUAAAUAAUUAUAAAACUCUUAUUUUAUCUGCAAUUAUACACGUCAUACUGACAUCUCUCAUUUGAAUUUUAAUAAUUUUUAAUAGAAUAUAAAAUAUGAAGACAUGAUCAAUAAAAUAUAAAUAUAUAUUUUAAAUAUCAAUGUAUAUAUCUAAAAAUGAACACAUAGGAGUAUAAGAAAGAAUGAAUUACAGUAAACAAAUGCAAAAACAAUAAAAUCGCAUUUACUUUUCCUUUGUGUUCAUAAUUCAGAUGAGAAAAUGUAUAUUUUGAUAAAAGUUACACACAGGCGCACAUACACACAUAUACACAUUUAUAAUAUACGGAAUUUAUAUUUAAGAAAUAACAGGUUUUACUCUGUUUAUUUAAAUGCACAAUAUGCGCACACAUACAUUACAGAUAUACUUUACAAAUGUUAUCAUAAUCCCACAAUUCAUCGAAUCAUUGGAUCACUUUUAAAUGAUUUGACUUGAACAUCACUUGUAAAUAUUUUUUAUGCUCGAUAUUGGUAUAUUUUAUAACUGCAAGAAGAUGCUUGGUUUUUUGUUCUAAAGGCAUUAAUUACUAUCAAUGUCCUUUAACAUGGAAAAGAAAUAAAAUUCUGUUUUUUGUAUUAAGCACAAUAUUAAUCACGAUUUUUUUAGAUAAUAUUAUAAAUCCAAUACAGUAUUUAUUUCAUUGCACAUAUUAAAUGAUUUAUUUAUACAAAUAAUAAGUUUCAGAAAAAUAUCUAAAACCUUUAAUGUUUAUUAAUCAGUUAGAUAUAUUUUAGAAGAAAUAUUGUAUUAAAAGCAAUUCUGCAAUAAUCCAACGUUAAAAAUUCUGAAUGUAAAAACUUAAUAUUAUGCAUUGAAAUCUCUUGAAAAUAAAUCUAUCAGUCUUGAAAAAAUUUACUAUUUAUUCUUGCAGAUGAUUUUUUCACAAAUUUACCUUUAUUGAUGAUUCAUUUGACGUAAAUACUCCGGAGCAUGAUAAUGUUGUUGAGCAUGUGCAAGCGAAGGAUGUAUUGGUGGUGGAAAACAACGAACAUGUUCUACACUGGUUGCAUCACUAUCUCCACUUUUUAAAUACUUAUUUAAUACAGCAAAAAUUUGAGAAUUUAAUACUUGGAAUCUCCUUAUACGAUCAACCAUUCUUUUUAAACGCUGUAAAAAAAUAGAAAAGGAAAACAAAAAUAUGAUUAAAUGAAUAAGUAUAAAAAGAUAACAUAAAAGAAAUUUGAAUAAAAAUAAUAAUACAUACGAUUCCUUUGACAUUUUCAUCCUUGCCAUCUACGCGCUGCACUCUGAGAAUAUGAUAGCAAAAAUCAAGAGCUUCGAACCUUCUUUGUUGGCCAAGAAGAACUAUCAUAGCGCAUCCAGCCCAAUGAAUGCAAUAUACAAAUUGUAAAGCA